rnacentral:tRNA from 1 species
GUGGAUAUAGCUCAGUGGUAGAGCGCAUGCUUAGCAUGCAUGAGGUCCCAGCCAUCUGCCCACC